AUUGAACGCUGGCGGCAGGCCUAACACAUGCAAGUCGAGCGGGGUUUUCGGACCUAGCGGCGGACGGGUGAGUAAUGCGUAGGAAGCUGCCCGAUAGAGGGGGAUACCAGUUGGAAACGACUGUUAAUACCGCAUAAUGUCUACGGACCAAAGUGUGGGACCUUCGGGCCACAUGCUAUCGGAUGCGCCUACGUGGGAUUAGCUAGUUGGUGAGGUAAUGGCUCACCAAGGCGACGAUUUCUAGCUGGUUUGAGAGGAUGAUCAGCCACACUGGAACUGAGACACGGUCCAGACUCCGACGGGAGGCAGCAGUGGGGAAUAUUGGACAAUGGGCGCAAGCCUGAUCCAGCCAUGCCGCGUGUGUGAAGAAGGCCUUCGGGUUGUAAAGCACUUUCAGCGAGGAGGAAGGGGUGUGUGUUAAUAGUACACACCUUUGACGUUACUCGCAGAAGAAGCACCGGCUAACUCUGUGCCAGCCGCCGCGGUAAAAC
rnacentral:rRNA from 1 species